CCUACGGGCGGCAGCAGUGAGGAAUAUUGGUCAAUGGACGAGAGUCUGAACCAGCCAAGUAGCGUGAAGGAUGACUGCCCUAUGGGUUGUAAACUUCUUUUAUAUGGGAAUAAAACGUUCCACGUGUGGGAUUUUGUAUGUACCAUAUGAAUAAGGAUCGGCUAACUCCGUGCCAGCAGCCGCGGUAAUACGGAGGAUCCGAGCGUUAUCCGGAUUUAUUGGGUUUAAAGGGGGCGUAGGUGGAUUGUUAAGUCAGUUGUGAAAGUUUGCGGCUCAACCGUAAAAUUGCAGUUGAAACUGGCAGUCUUGAGUACAGUAGAGGUGGGCGGAAUUCGUGGUGUAGCGGUGAAAUGCUUAGAUAUCACGAAGAACUCCGAUUGCGAAGGCAGUUCACUGGACUGCAACUGACACUGAGGCUCGAAAGUGUAGGUAUCAAACAGGAUUAGAUACCCGGGUAGUC
rnacentral:rRNA from 1 species